rnacentral:rRNA from 1 species
AUUGAACGCUGGCGGCAGGCUUAACACAUGCAAGUCGAGCGGAGAUGAGGUGCUUGCACCUUAUCUUAGCGGCGGACGGGUGAGUAAUGCUUAGGAAUCUGCCUAUUAGUGGGGGACAACAUUUCGAAAGGAAUGCUAAUACCGCAUACGCCCUACGGGGGAAAGCAGGGGAUCUUCGGACCUUGCGCUAAUAGAUGAGCCUAAGUCGGAUUAGCUAGUUGGUGGGGUAAAGGCCUACCAAGGCGACGAUCUGUAGCGGGUCUGAGAGGAUGAUCCGCCACACUGGGACUGAGACACGGCCCAGACUCCUACGGGAGGCAGCAGUGGGGAAUAUUGGACAAUGGGGGGAACCCUGAUCCAGCCAUGCCGCGUGUGUGAAGAAGGCCUUUUGGUUGUAAAGCACUUUAAGCGAGGAGGAGGAGCUCUAGACUAAUACUCUAGAUGCUUGGACGUUACUCGCAGAAUAAGCACCGGCUAACUCUGUGCCAGCAGCCGCGGUAAUACAGAGGGUGCAAGCGUUAAUCGGAUUUACUGGGCGUAAAGCGUGCGUAGGUGGUCUUUUAAGUCGGAUGUGAAAUCCCUGAGCUUAACUUAGGAAUUGCAUUCGAUACUGGGAGACUAGAGUAUGGGAGAGGAUGGUAGAAUUCCAGGUGUAGCGGUGAAAUGCGUAGAGAUCUGGAGGAAUACCGAUGGCGAAGGCAGCCAUCUGGCCUAAUACUGACACUGAGGUACGAAAGCAUGGGGAGCAAACA